rnacentral:rRNA from 1 species
GACGAACGCUGGCGUCGUGCUUAACACAUGCAAGUCGAACGGAAAGGCCCUGCUUGCCGGGUACUCGAGUGGCGAACGGGUGAGUAACACGUGGGUGAUCUGCCCUGCACUUCGGGAUAAGCCUGGGAAACUGGGUCUAAUACCGGAUAGGAGCCAUUUUUAGUGUGAUGGUUGGAAAGUUUUUUUCGGUGUAGGAUGAGCUCGCGGCCUAUCAGCUUGUUGGUGGGGUAAUGGCCUACCAAGGCGGCGACGGGUAGCCGGCCUGAGAGGGUGGACGGCCACAUUGGGACUGAGAUACGGCCCAGACUCCUACGGGAGGCAGCAGUGGGGAAUAUUGCACAAUGGGCGCAAGCCUGAUGCAGCGACGCCGUGUGGGGGAUGACGGCCUUCGGGUUGUAAACUCCUUUCGCUAGGGACGAAGCUUUUUGUGACGGUACCUAGAUAAGAAGCACCGGCUAACUACGUG